rnacentral:rRNA from 1 species
GACGAAUGCUGGCUGCGUGCUUAACACAUGCAAGUCGAACGGUGAAAGGGAGCUUGCUCCCUGGAUCAGUGGCGAACGGGUGAGUAACACGUGGGCAACCUGCCCCUCACUCUGGGAUAACUCCGGGAAACCGGGGCUAAUACCGGAUACGACCUGGUGCGACAUCGCACCGGGUGGAAAGAACUUCGGUGAGGGAUGGGCCCGCGGCCUAUCAGCUUGUUGGUGGGGUAACGGCCCACCAAGGCGACGACGGGUAGCCGGCCUGAGAGGGCGACCGGCCACACUGGGACUGAGACACUGCCCAGACUCCUACGGGAGGCAGCAGUGGGGAAUAUUGCGCAAUGGGCGAAAGCCUGACGCAGCGACGUAGCGUGAGGGACGAAGGCCUUCGGGUUGUAAACCUCUUUCAGCGGGGACGAAGCGAAAGUGACGGUACCCGCAGAAGAAGCACCGGCUAACUACGUGCCAGCCGCCGCAGUAAGAC